ACUUUAAGUUAAAUUUGCAGAACUAAAUUCAAAGAUCUGAUCUUGUAACAUUUAAAGACAAUUAUAUACAUUUAAUCGCUAUUAUAACCACCAGUAAUGCUUAUAAUCUAUUUUUCUUUUUGCAUUUGAAAAGUUAGUUGUUCAAUUACUGUUUGUGUUUGUAAUAUGUAAUAUUUUUGUGCUUAUCUGUUGUUUUAUAUAUUCAUUUUGUAGGAUCAGUACAUAUUUGUUAUUGGAGAUACAGUGCAAGCUGUGUGGAAUCAAAGACCCGUAUUGAUGAGGCCAGUGUCAGUGAAGAUGGUGUGGUCACUGGAAUCCUGGUGUUUGUGGGAAAUGUGAAGGAGCUUCUCCCAGGAUUCUACUACAGUGUUGUCCUGAUGACUGAGGUAUUUAUUUUUUUUACUUUCUUGCCUCUUUGGAACAUGUUCAUUUAUGCAUACUGUGUAGAGGUGGUUCGCAGCUUCAUGGACAUUUGAGGUUUUCUGCCGAUGAAGAGCUUCUGGGACAUUGACAUAAACAGCACUUUUUCAUACAACUUAAAAAAAGGUGGUGACAGACAAUUUUGGUUUUCUUGUUUUUGUGCCUUUGGAAUUCAUUGUUUUUUUGUUUGUUUUAUUUUUUCUUUUCAAAAUUACAUUCACUGUAAUGCUGGAGUAAGAUUUUAGAAGAAACCUUUUUGUCCUGUUUAAUGUUUGUGCUAGUAAGGGUUGCAGAGCUUAUAAGUAACAAGGUUUACAAAAGGUAACACUUUACAAAAGGUCUCGCUUGUUAACAUCAAUUAAUAUAUUAGAUAACAUUAUCUAACUAUGUGCAUUGACUUUUUUUUUACAGUAUUUAUCAAUAUUUGUUAACAUUAGGCAAUAA